rnacentral:rRNA from 1 species
AUGUUCCUACGGGGCGCAGCAGUGAGGAAUAUUGGUCAAUGGGCGCGAGCCUGAACCAGCCAAGUCGCGUGAGGGAAGACGGUCCUAUGGAUUGUAAACCUCUUUUGUCGGGGAGCAAAAGACGCCACGCGUGGCGUUCCGAGAGUACCCGAAGAAAAAGCAUCGGCUAACUCCGUGCCAGCAGCCGCGGUAAUACGGAGGAUGCGAGCGUUAUCCGGAUUUAUUGGGCGUAAAGGGAACGCAGGCGGUCUGUUCAGUCAGCGGUCAAAGCCCGGGGCUCAACCACGGCCCGCCGUUGAAACUGG